rnacentral:tRNA from 1 species
UAGAGCAUUCGCCUCCUAAGCGAAAGGUCGUAGGUUCGACUCCUAUCUGGGACGCCA